GUUCGCUGUGCCUCCCCCUUCCUUGCACCUUCACUCCCCAUGUGUCGGUGAAUGAAGGGUGAAAACCCCUUUAUUUACUUACCUGACUCCAGUGCCGAUCUCCCCCCUCAGAGCUGGGUUGUGGUGAGGGGUCACUAAUGCACAUGCAUGGACAAGCAUUGAAUCAAUGCUUUCUUAUGGGGAAGUUGCUUUUACUGGAUGUCCUCAUGCCGUAAGAGUCACUAGACAGCCACGGGCGGCUGUCUUGGUGCUGCAAUGUAAGCAUGUUUUACAUUGCAGCACUAAGUGCAAUAGGGACACUGUAUCAGGCCACUUUAAUGAAGUGGUCUGGGUGUCUAUAGUGAUCCUUUAAACUGUUUUCAUGUAUUCAUUAGUAGGAAUUAACAUGGUUUUAUGAAAGACAGGACAUGCCAUAUUAGCUUGACAUAUCCACACAAAAAGUUACUAUUUAAACUGAAAUCAAUUAGUUUAUAUGGAAAAUCUUGCUCUUGGAUAGAACACUGGCUUAAAGAGUACAGUGAGGGAAAAAAGUAUUUGAUCCCCUGCUGAUUUUGAACAUUAGCCCACUGACAAAGCAAUGAUCAGUCUGUAAUUUUAAUGGUAGGUAUAUUUUAACAGUGAGAAACAGAAUAACAAAAAAAUAUAUAUAUA